AAACGGAUUGAGGUGCCAAACGCGUAGGACGUUGAAGGGUGUAGGUAAGUCCGCACCCCGAGUCCGAAACGUGAUGGCGGUGCCUUAGAGCCACAAGUGAUUGAGCCAUGCCGCCUAGAAAAGCUUCUAAGCGUUGAUAUUUGAGUGACCGUACCGCAAACCGACACUGGUAGGUGGGCAGAAUAUACCAAGGGGAGCGAGAGAACCCUCGUUAAGGAAUUAGGCAAAUUUCCCCCGUACGUUCGCAAUAAGGGGGGCCUCUGGUGGUGAGCUUAAUCGCAAAGCUGCUGGAGGCCGCAGAGAAAUGGCUCUUCCAACUGUUUAACAAAAACACAGGUCUCUGCUAAGUCGAAAGACGAAGUAUAGGGGCUGACGCCUGCCCAGUGCUGGAAGGUUAAGGGGAGAGGUUAGGCGCAAGCCGAAGCUUUGAGCCGAAGCCCCAGUGAACGGCGGCCGUAACUAUAACGGUCCUAAGGUAGCGAAAUUCCUCGUCGGGUAAGUUCCGACCCGCACGAAUGGCGUAAUGAGAGGAGCACUGUCUCAACGAGGGACUCGGCGAACAUUGGAGGACGUGUGAAGAUACACGUGACCCGCAGCGGGACAAAAAGACCCCGUGAAGCUUUACUACAACUUGCCAUUGAGUUAGGGCUAAACCUGUGUAGUAUAGGUGGGAGGCUUUGAAGCUGGGACGCCAGUCUCGGUGGAGCCACCGUUGAAAUACCACCCUGGUUUAUUCUUGGCUCUAACCUGUCGCCGUUAUCCGGCAUGGGAACAGUGGCUGGUGGGUAGUUUGACUGGGGCGGUCGCCUCCGAAAGCGUAACAGAGGCGCCCAAAGGUUCCCUCAGGCUGAAUGGAAACCAGCCGUUGAGUGUAAAGGCACAAGGGAGCUUGACUGCAAGACCAACAAGUCGCGCAGGGACGAAAGUCGGGCUUAGUGAUCCCACGGUUCAGAGUGGAAUGGCCGUGGCUUACCGGAUAAAAGCUACUCCGGGGAUAACAGGGUAGUCUGGUCCAAGAGUUCAUAUCGACGACCAGGUUCGCCACCUCGAUGUCGGCUCAUCACAUCCUGGGGCUGGAUAAGGUCCCAAGGGUUGGGCUGUUCGCCCAUUAAAGUGGUACGUGAGCUGGGUUCAGACCGUCGUGAGACAGGUCGGUCUCUAUCCGCUGUGGGCGUAAGGGAUUUGAGAGAAGCUGCCCCUAGUACGAGAGGACCGGGGUGGACGGACCUCUAGUGUGCCAGUUGUUCUGCCAAGAGCAUUGCUGGGUAGCUACGUCCGGCAGAGAUAACCGCUGAAAGCAUCUAAGU
rnacentral:rRNA from 1 species